CAGGCUUAACACAUGCAGGUCGAGCGUUAGCAUGGUCUUAGCUUGCUAAGGCCGAUGGCGACCGGCGCACGGGUGAGUAACACGUAUCCAACCUGCCGUCUACUCUUGGACAGCCUUCUGAAAGGAAGAUUAAUACAAGAUGGCAUCAUGAGUCCGCAUGUUCACAUGAUUAAAGGUAUUCCGGUAGACGAUGGGGAUGCGUCCCAUUAGAUAGUAGGCGGGGUAACGGCCCACCUAGUCUUCGAUGGAUAGGGGUUCUGAGAGGAAGGUCCCCCACAUUGGAACUGAGACACGGUCCAAACUCCUACGGGAGGCAGCAGUGAGGAAUAUUGGUCAAUGGGCGAGAGCCUGAACCAGCCAAGUAGCGUGAAGGAUGACUGCCCUAUGGGUUGUAAACUUCUUUUAUAAAGGAAUAAAGUCGGGUAUGCAUACCCGUUUGCAUGUACUUUAUGAAUAAGGAUCGGCUAACUCCGUGCCAGCAGCCGCGGUAAUACGGAGGAUCCGAGCGUUAUCCGGAUUUAUUGGGUUUAAAGGGAGCGUAGAUGGAUGUUUAAGUCAGUUGUGAAAGUUUGCGGCUCAACCGUAAAAUUGCAGUUGAUACUGGAUAUCUUGAGUGCAGUUGAAGCAGGCGGAAAUUCGUGGUGUAGCGGUGAAAUGCUUAGAUAUCACGAAGAACUCCGAUUGCGAAGGCAGCCUGCUAAGCUGCAACUGACAUUGAGGCUUGAAAGUGUGGGGUAUCAAACAGGAUUAGAUACCCUGGUAGUCCACACGGUAAACGAUGAAUACUCGCUGUUUGCGAUAUACAGCAAGCGGCCAAGCGAAAGCGUUAAGUAUUCCACCUGGGGAGUACGCCGGCAACGGUGAAACUCAAAGGAAUUGACGGGGGCCCGCACAAGCGGAGGAACAUGUGGUUUAAUUCGAUGAUACGCGAGGAACCUUACCCGGGCUUAAAUUGCAGAUGAAUUACGGUGAAAGCCGUAAGCCGCAAGGCAUCUGUGAAGGUGCUGCAUGGUUGUCGUCAGCUCGUGCCGUGAGGUGUCGGCUUAAGUGCCAUAACGAGCGCAACCCUUGUUGUCAGUUACUAACAGGUUCCGCUGAGGACUCUGACAAGACUGCCAUCGUAAGAUGUGAGGAAGGUGGGGAUGACGUCAAAUCAGCACGGCCCUUACGUCCGGGGCUACACACGUGUUACAAUGGGGGGUACAGAGGGCCGCUACCACGCGAGUGGAUGCCAAUCCCAAAAACCUCUCUCAGUUCGGACUGGAGUCUGCAACCCGACUCCACGAAGCUGGAUUCGCUAGUAAUCGCGCAUCAGCCACGGCGCGGUGAAUACGUUCCCGGGCCUUGUACACACCGCCCGUCAAGCCAUGGGAGCCGGGGGUACCUGAAGUGCGUAACCGCGAGGAGCGCCCUAGGGUA
rnacentral:rRNA from 1 species